CGGAGCGUAGCGCAGCCUGGUAGCGCACUUCGCUGGGGGUGAAGGGGUCGGAGGUUCGAAUCCUCUCGCUCCGACCA
rnacentral:tRNA from 1 species